UAGGUAGGAUUUGCCAGCACAGUUCCAUCUA
rnacentral:piRNA from 1 species